UGAACGCUGGCGGUAUGCCUAACACAUGCAAGUCGUACGAGAGUUUUUAACUCUAGUGGCGGACGGGUGAGUAACACGUGAGAAUUUGCCUUUAGGAGGGGGAUAACAAUCGGAAACGAAUGCUAAUACCCCAUAUGCUUUCGAGUGAAACGGUUUUUCCGCCUAAAGAGAAGCUUGCGGCUGAUUAGCUUGUUGGUAAGGUAAUGGCUUACCAAGGCGACGAUCAGUAUCUGGUUUGAGAGGACGAUCAGACACACUGGAACUGAGACACGGUCCAGACUCCUACGGGAGGCAGCAGUGGGGAAUUUUCCGCAAUGGGCGAAAGCCUGACGGAGCAAUACCGCGUGAGGGAUGACUGCCUAUGGGUUGUAAACCUCUUUUUUCAGGGAGGAAUAAAUGACGUGUACCUGAAGAAUAAGCAUCGGCUAACUCC
rnacentral:rRNA from 1 species